rnacentral:rRNA from 1 species
UACGUAGGUGGCAAGCGUUGUCCGGAUUUACUGGGCGUAAAGAGCGCGCAGGCGGUCGUUCAAGUCGCGUGUGAAAGCCCCCGGCUCAACUGGGGAGGGUCACGCGAUACUGAUCGACUCGAAGGCAGGAGAGGGUAGUGGAAUUCCCGGUGUAGUGGUGAAAUGCGUAGAUAUCUGGAGGAACACCGGUGGCGAAGGCGGCAUUCUGGACCGGCAUUGACGCUGAGGCGCGAAAGCCAGGGGAGCAAACGGG